rnacentral:rRNA from 1 species
AGAGUUUGAUCAUGGCUCAGAUUGAACGCUGGCGGCAUGCCUUACACAUGCAAGUCGAACGGUAACAGGUCUUCGGACGCUGACGAGUGGCGAACGGGUGAGUAAUACAUCGGAACGUGCCCAGUCGUGGGGGAUAACUACUCGAAAGAGUAGCUAAUACCGCAUACGAUCUGAGGAUGAAAGCGGGGGACCUUCGGGCCUCGCGCGAUUGGAGCGGCCGAUGGCAGAUUAGGUAGUUGGUGGGAUAAAAGCUUACCAAGCCGACGAUCUGUAGCUGGUCUGAGAGGACGACCAGCCACACUGGGACUGAGACACGGCCCAGACUCCUACGGGAGGCAGCAGUGGGGAAUUUUGGACAAUGGGCGAAAGCCUGAUCCAGCAAUGCCGCGUGCAGGAUGAAGGCCUUCGGGUUGUAAACUGCUUUUGUACGGAACGAAAAAGCUUCUCCUAAUACGAGAGGCCCAUGACGGUACCGUAAGAAUAAGCACCGGCUAACUACGUGCCAGCAGCCGCGGUAAUAC